GAUCUCUGCCCCGGGUGCGUCGCAGCCCCGGACCAAGGCGCCCGCCGGAGGACCAACCAAAACUCUUAUUGUAUACCCCCUCGCGGGUUUUUUACUAUCUGAGCCAUCUCGGCGCCCCUCGUGGGCGUUUCGAAAAUGAAUCAAAACUUUCAACAACGGAUCUCUUGGUUCUGGCAUCGAUGAAGAACGCAGCGAAAUGCGAUAAGUAAUGUGAAUUGCAGAAUUCAGUGAAUCAUCGAAUCUUUGAACGCACAUUGCGCCCGCCAGUAUUCUGGCGGGCAUGCCUGUCCGAGCGUCAUUUCAACCCUCGAACCCCUCCGGGGGGUCGGCGUUGGGGAUCGGCCCUUUACGGGGCCGGCCCCGAAAUACAGUGGCGGUCUCGCCGCAGCCUCUCCUGCGCAGUAGUUUGCACACUCGCAUCG
rnacentral:misc_RNA from 1 species